rnacentral:rRNA from 1 species
CCUACGGGAGGCAGCAGUGAGGAAUAUUGGACAAUGGGCGCAAGCCUGAUCCAGCCAUGCCGCGUGCAGGAUGACGGUCCUAUGGAUUGUAAACUGCUUUUAUACGAGAAGAAACACUGCUUCGUGAAGCAGCUUGACGGUAUCGUAAGAAUAAGGAUCGGCUAACUCCGUGCCAGCAGCCGCGGUAAUACGGAGGAUCCAAGCGUUAUCCGGAAUCAUUGGGUUUAAAGGGUCCGUAGGCGGUUUAAUAAGUCAGUGGUGAAAGCCCAUCGCUCAACGGUGGAACGGCCAUUGAUACUGUUAGACUUGAAUUAUUAGGAAGUAACUAGAAUAUGUAGUGUAGCGGUGAAAUGCUUAGAGAUUACAUGGAAUACCAAUUGCGAAGGCAGGUUACUACUAAUGGAUUGACGCUGAUGGACGAAAGCGUGGGUAGCGAACAGGAUUAGAUACCCUGGUAGUCCACGCCGUAAACGAUGGAUACUAGCUGUUGGGUGCAAACUCAGUGGCUAAGCGAAAGUGAUAAGUAUCCCACCUGGGGAGUACGUUCGCAAGAAUGAAACUCAAAGGAAUUGAGG